CCUUUACCUUAUCCUUUGGCAUAGGGUUUGGCCUGUUUGUCCAAUACAGAAGGCUGAAGGGCACUGUUGGCAUUUGGUGGUAUACAGAAAGUUAGAAGAUGAGCAACUAAAUAGUCCUGCGAUGGUAUGUUUGAUGUUGUUGGGGCCAGGAAUGGUGUUUCCGGGUGUAUGUGGAAGUAAAGUUGGCAUCUGGGUUUAUUGCAGGCUCUGGUACAAAGCAGAAGGGGAUCCUUUCUAGACCUGGGAGACCCUUGAUCAUCUUGGUCGCCCUCCUCUGCACACAUUCCAGCUUGUCAAAAUCCUUCUUAAAUUGUGGGUGGCCAAAGGUCUGGAAACCAAACCUUAUGAGGAACAGUUGAGGGAGUUGGGGAGACAUGAGAACCACCAUCUCAAGGACUAUCACAUGGAAGAUGGAGCAAGCUUGCUUUCUCCUGCUCCAGAGGGUAGGACUCGAACCCAUGGCGUCAAGCUCCAAGGAAGGAGAUUCUGACCUUAAGGUCCACAAAUAGCAACACCCUAGAGGUCCCGGGCCCUAAGGAAGUCAGAUGAGCCUCAACCAGGGCCAGGGCCUUUUCAACACUGGCCCCGGCCUGGUGGAACGCUCUGUCUCAUGAGACCAGGGCCCUGCAGGAUCUGAUUUCUUUCCGCAGGGCCUGUAAGACAGAGUUGUUCCGCCUGGCCUUUGGCUUGGAAUCAACUUGAUCCCCUUCCCCUCUUUCCUUUUCCUUCUGUGAUGGAACUCCUAUUUGGGGACUUCCCUGGCUUUUUUUCUGGCCUACCUAGGACCAGUCUGGAUAGUUGACCUUGGUGAAGAUUUGACGUUUUCAUGCCCCCAAAAAGUUUUUGAUUUGAGUUUCUACUGAAAUGAGGCUGCAUUUUAAUGUUGUAUUUUAAUGUUGUUUUUAAGUUGUAUUUUAAUCAAUUGUUUUUAUACCUGGUGUUAGCCGCCCUGAGCCCGGUCUUGGCUGGGGAGGGCGGGGUACAAAAAAAUUAUAUUUAUGAUGAUUAUUAUUAUGAUUAUUAAAUAUCAGGAAGAACUUUCUGGGAGCAGGAGCUGGAACGGUCUCACAAAAGAGACAGUGGGCUCUCAUUUUUGGGAGGUUUUUAAGCAGAGGCUGGAUGGCCAACUUUCAAGGAUGCUUUAGUUGAGAUUCCUGCCCCACAGGGGGGGUUAGACUAGAUGACCCCUGGAGGACCCUAACUCCACGAUUCUACGAUUCUUACAGAAAUAAACGACGGGCCUUAAGAACCCAAAUGUGAGAAUCUGACUCACAGGGUGGUGGUAUUCAAGCAAGUUUCACUCAAGAGCAGACCCAGUGAAAUUCAGGGGCAUUAGGUCUACUUUAAGUAAGACUUAGUUGCAUGCCAGCCGUAGUCCCAAAGCUUUGAUGGUUGUCGUUGCUAUUAAUCCACAGAUGUUUCCAUUUGGGGACGACGUAUCCUCCGGCCUAAGGACGCGCUGCCACCAGCCGGAUGCUCAGCGGAAAAGAUUUCUAUUUACAGAGUUAAAUCUCUGCGGC